GUCCACGUAGCUCAGCAGGAUAGAGCAUUCGCCUCCUAAGCGAAAGGCCGCACGUUCAAAUCGUGUCGCGGACGCCA
rnacentral:tRNA from 1 species